rnacentral:sRNA from 1 species
AAGAGCAUCCUCAGCGGGCGAGUCCCCGGCUCCUCCAGCUCCUUCCUCCUCUUCCUCCUCCUCCUUCACCUCCGGCUUUUGGGGGGUCACUGUCCUCUCUCGGCAGCAGAAUGAGCCGGCAGGUGGUCCGCUCCAGCAAGUUCCGCCACGUGUUUGGACAGCCGGCCAAGGCCGACCAGUGCUAUGAAGAUGUGCGCGUCUCACAGACCACCUGGGACAGUGGCUUCUGUGCUGUCAACCCUAAGUUUGUGGCCCUGAUCUGUGAGGCCAGCGGGGGAGGGGCCUUCCUGGUGCUGCCCCUGGGCAAGACUGGACGUGUGGACAAGAAUGCGCCCACGGUCUGUGGCCACACAGCCCCUGUGCUAGACAUCGCCUGGUGCCCGCACAAUGACAACGUCAUUGCCAGUGGCUCCGAGGACUGCACAGUCAUGGUUGUGACAACGUGAUCAUGGUGUGGGACGUGGGCACUGGGGCGGCCAUGCUGACACUGGGCCCAGAGGUGCACCCAGACACGAUCUACAGUGUGGACUGGAGCCGAGAUGGAGGCCUCAUUUGUACCU